GAACUGCCGAGAUUGUAUGAGAUCAUGGGCUGUGGAAUCAGACAGUGGGAAUUCCAAUCCUUGCUCUAGUACAUAUUUAUUAUGAAACAGUGAACAAAUCACUUAACCUCUUACAGGCUCAGCUUUCUCAUCACUAAAUUGGAGAUACAGGUACCCCUGGAGGUAUUUUUAACUACUUCCACAGUACGUGACACAUGGAGUUGGAGACUUGGAAUCCCCUUUGGUGCAGAAACUAUUCCUUCAUGAGAAGUCCUUAAAUAGGCUCUUUAGAGAAGAGGCCACAUUUUGAAGGCAGCAGGGUCACAAGAUGGAAGAACCAGGGUCCUUGCAUCAUCGGUUGGCUUCAAGUUGCCCGGGGGCAGCCUAACCCACAUGGAAUUGUGACAUAAGAAACAAAGCAACUAUUGUUUUAUUAAAUCAAUGAGAUAUUGGGCUUCUUGUUAUAGCAACUAGUAUAAAUUGCCCUGACUGAUACAUUAUGGAUUUAGAAUGCACUGUACUACAACUGUUUGUUGUAUUUUCAAAAACAGGUUUAUUGUGGUAUAAUUGACUUACAAUAAACUUCAUAUAUUUAAAGAGUA